AUUGAACGCUGGCGGCAGGCCUAACACAUGCAAGUCGAACGAGUGGCGGACGGGUGAGUAAUGUCUGGGAAACUGCCCGAUGGAGGGGGAUAACUACUGGAAACGGUAGCUAAUACCGCAUACCAUCGGAUGUGCCCAGAUGUGAUUAGCUUGUAGGUGCGGUAACGGCGGGCCUAGGCGACGAUCCCUAGCUGGUCUGAGAGGAUGACCAGCCACACUGGGACUGAGACUCGGUCCAGACUCCGACGGGGGGCAGAGGUGGUGAUUAUUGCACAAGGGGCGCAAGCCUGAGGCAGCCAUGCCGGGGGUAUGAGAAAGGCCUUCGUGUUGUAAAGUACUUUCAGCGGGGAGGCGUUACCCGCAGAAGAAGCACCGGAUAACUCCGAGCCAGCAGCCGCGGUAAUU
rnacentral:rRNA from 1 species